AACGGGGAAUUAGGGUUCGAUUCCGGAGAGGGAGCCUGAGAAAUGGCUACCACAUCUAAGGAAGGCAGCAGGCGCGUAAAUUACCCAAUCCUAAUUCAGGGAGGUAGUGACAAGAAAUAACAACUCGGACCUCACACGAGGUUACGAGAUUGCAAUGAGAACAAUUUAAACCUCUUAUCGAGUAACAAUUGGAGGGCGAGUCUGGUGCCAGCAGCCGCGGUAAUUCCAGCUCCAAUAGCGUAUAUUAAAGUUGUUGCAGUUAAAAAGCUCGUAGUUGAAUAUCUGGCCGGUGCUGUUCUCGGCUCCCUGAGUCGGCUCAGCGCCUGGUCAUCCGUAUGGGAAACUAGCUCGACCUUCACUGGUCGGCUAGUGGAUCAUACACUUUACUUUGAAAAAAUUAGAGUGUUUCAGGCAGGCAAUUGCUUGGAUACUGUAGCAUGGAAUAAUGGAAUAGGACUUUGACCUAUUUGUUGGUUUCUCGAGGUCAAAGUAAUGAUUAAUAGGGACAGUUGGGGGCAUUCGUAUUUAAUUGUCAGAGGUGAAAUUCUUGGAUUUUUUAAAGACGAACUUAUGCGAAAGCAUUUGCCAAGGAUGUUUU
rnacentral:rRNA from 1 species